GCGGACAGUGUCUGGUGGGUAGUUUGACUGGGGCGGUCUCCUCCUAAAGAGUAACGGAGGAGCACGAAGGUUGGCUAAUCCUGGUCGGACAUCAGGAGGUUAGUGCAAUGGCAUAAGCCAGCUUGACUGCGAGCGUGACGGCGCGAGCAGGUGCGAAAGCAGGUCAUAGUGAUCCGGUGGUUCUGAAUGGAAGGGCCAUCGCUCAACGGAUAAAAGGUACUCCGGGGAUAACAGGCUGAUACCGCCCAAGAGUUCAUAUCGACGGCGGUGUUUGGCACCUCGAUGUCGGCUCAUCACAUCCUGGGGCUGAAGUAGGUCCCAAGGGUAUGGCUGUUCGCCAUUUAAAGUGGUACGCGAGCUGGGUUUAGAACGUCGUGAGACAGUUCGGUCCCUAUCUGCCGUGGGCGCUGGAGAACUGAGGGGGGCUGCUCCUAGUACGAGAGGACCGGAGUGGACGCAUCACUGGUGUUCGGGUUGUCAUGCCAAUGGCACUGCCCGGUAGCUAAAUGCGGAAGAGAUAAGUGCUGAAAGCAUCUAAGCACGAAACUUGCCCCGAGAUGAGUUCUCCCUGACCCUUUAAGGGUCCUGAAGGAACGUUGAAGACGACGACGUUGAUAGGCCGGGUGUGUAAGCGCAGCGAUGCGUUGAGCUAACCGGUACUAAUGAACCGUGAGGCUUAACCUU
rnacentral:rRNA from 1 species